GUUCAUCUAAGAAGUUCAUCACUCUGCAGUAUUCUAGCAGAGAAUCUUCCUGAAAAUCUCUAUUCUUGUUGGAUGUCUCUCCUCAGUUUCUUAACUUCUUGGGGGGUAACCCUACAGAGAUGUCUCUAUUCGCAUUUACAGUGUGCCUCACUUUAAUGAUACCUUGCCUGGUUUCCACUGACCUAUUCAGCUAGAUCCCAUGUACUGUCAGCACCGUGAAGAUAUCUCAGAGGUCUUAAAGCACUUGGAGUAGCUGAAGAUAAACCACUUGGCUGGGUGAAUUGGCGGCAGAAGCCAGGGCAGAAGUCAAGACAGAUCCAUCCAGAGGAGCUCCCCAAGGGCAGAAGACUCCAUCCAGAGUUUCUCAGGACGGUCAUUCCCAUAGCACUCACAGAACUCACAGAACCCAAAGUUUUAAUCUUGUUCCACUGCCCCUAUCUCCCAACUGGAGCACCCCAGGCAGUUCUGCCUGUGCUGGCUGAGUUAGGCUGUAGGGACAAUUCUUCUUUCCUUGUGAACUCUGAAAGUCUGCAGAAUAAGGGAUUUAUGGAGCGGAGGGUUCACAGUAAUUUCUGUUUCCACUAGAGCUAGAGAUAGUCUGACUGAGAUAAUUUCUUUAUGUCCUCAUUAUUUAUUUCACAUCUAUUCUCUUUCACAAAUAUACAUAUAUAC
ensembl:lncRNA